rnacentral:lncRNA from 1 species
CCUUGGAUUCUUGUCGAAUAAGUGAUGAAAACACAGUAAAUAUGGUGACUGAUCACAACCCCAAAUUAUCUCAUUGUUUGUCCUCAAGUAAUGUUCUAAUCGACAAAGUGUGUCACUUCCCAAAACUGAAAUUUUCUUACCAUAAUAUUGCUGAGAUCUUUCGCCACACGCCUUCACUCUCCCUUUCAUGGUCCCUGCUUUUCCUAAUUGGUUUUCCGCCACACUUCCACAUAGACGUAGUAUUUCACCUGUCAGCUUAUAUCACACUCUCACAUUUCAGAAUAUGCAAUAUCGACUCAUAAAUUUGAAUUGUUUCUCCUUUCGUAUAAACUACACAUAAGACACACUUUUUGAGGUCUUUUGGGUUGUAACAUGGCUUGGGUUACAGUGGGGUAAACACAAACAAAAGGGAAAACAAGUGGUUUGGGUUAAGAGCCAAUUUAAUUAUUCUUUUCACUGUGUUUGUUCUACAUAUCAUUUCAAAUUCUUUUCUUUUUCAGUUCUAUCACUCAGUUCUUUUUUUCUUUGCUUUUUAUACCCAACUGAGUGUUUCUCAUUCAGUGAGUGCCCUUUUUUUUCGUUCCAUCAAAUUUAUUUUUUUCUUUUAUUACCUUUUUUUUUUCCGAUGGUCGUUUUUCUUAUUAUUUUUU